AGUAAAUAUAUUAAAAUAUUUUUUUUUAUUUUGUUAAAACCUUUAAGAUCAUCAGUGCUGCAGUUACCAUUUUCAACUUACUAUUUGCAAAACCAAAAUCAAUUACUUCAAUAUUCAAUAUUUAGCCCACUGAAUAUUAAGAAAAUCACUUUUAUAUUCAAGGAUGUCCCGGCUGUUGCUAAGAAAAGAUACAGUAAUCAAUAAAUAUAAAAAAAGUGUGCUUCAAAGCUGUUAUAAUUAAUGUAGUCACUUUUCUUGCCUUUAUAC